rnacentral:misc_RNA from 1 species
UUUCCGUAGGUGAACCUGCGGAAGGAUCAUUAUCGAGUUAGGGUCUCUGGCCCGACCUCCAACCCUGUGUCUACUAUACCAUGUUGCUUUGGCGGGCCCGCGUUUGUCGCCGCCGAGGGGUUGACCCCCCUGGGCCAGUGCUCGCCGAUAGCCCCCUCUUAAACUCUUGAUCAACCGUGAAUGCCUGAGUAAAAAAAAAUCAAGCACAAAACUUUCAACAACGGAUCUCUUGGUUCUC